rnacentral:lncRNA from 1 species
AGUUGGAAAGAAGACAAAUCUUAAUCAUGGUAAGAUUUGGGGUUGUGUGCUAAUAAGCAAUACUUGUUUAAAGAAUUAUCUCGUGGGUAUCCUUAAAUUAACAUUUGGAUAUCACUUCAAUAAACCAACUAACAAAUGUUGUUUGUUGGGUAGUUCAUUGUAAUCCUACACUAGGAUUUGCCUAAGAUGGAGCAAAUGAACGAGGGAUAGAACUCAAAGAAUGG